UUUCAUCACAUGGAACCAAAGGCAACUUCCAAAAAUUAAAAUAUAUACAUCAGAAAAAAGCUAAAUCAAUCAAUCAAUCAAUGCAAACUAAAACAAAAGCACAGGAGCAUGCACAGGUCAUCGUGGCCAAAAGCUUGGAUAAAGAGAGUGGCCUUCAUUUGCCUAUAAAGACCGUGAGGAAGGUGAAGGAGCCUGUCUUCACAGGGAGGCUGUUCCAUAACCUGGUAGCAACAACUGAGAAGGUCCAGUCCCAUUUGUAAGACAACCAUGCUUCAGCCAGCAUCAGUAUGUGGAGAAGAUCCCUCCCCCAACCCCCAGAAUAUCUUAUAAGGCAGGCUGAUUCACUUGGAAUGAUCUGGUCCUUCGGAUAUCAAUAACCCAAGUAAUGUAGGGGUUAAAAAGCCAAAACCAGACCUUUGUCUUGAACCCAGAAAUGACUUGGCAGCUAGUGCAGUUCCAUUAAGAUUGGGUGCUGUGUGUUCCAAUAAGCCCCAAAUAAUAGACUGACAGCCACACUGAAACCCUCCAGUGACACCUUCUAAACCCUUCCCUGAGGAGUUCAAGACUGUACCUCCUAAUCAAGACUGUACCUCCCUGAGAGGCAGCCCAGAAAAAUACCAUGGUAUAGAAUGGUGCUGAAAUGGUCUAGCAGAACCACCAGGGCCAUACACCCUAAGUUGUUCAGUUCCCAGUUUAGAUCACCCACCAGGGCAAACCAGGUGGUUCUUGUUCCAAACCUGAGAAGUAAGAUUUGAAAAGGGUCAAGGUCACCCAUAUCAUUCAAAAUCCUCUGUAGCUGGGAUGUCAGUAUGUGUUCUACCACUCUACCCAGAAAGGAGAGAACAGAAACUGGACCGUAACUGUCUAUUUUGGAGGACUUCUUCACAACUGCCUCCUUAAGCAUUGAUCGUAUUUCACCGUCGUUCAGUGAAGCACUGCUCAUUCCCUCCAACCAGCAGGUCAUCCCCACUUUGGCAUAUUUUAUCAGCCAAGGGCAAGGAUCUAAAGUGCAUGAGGUGACCCCCAUGAUACUGAGGAUCUUGUCCACAUCCCCAGGCAACACCAAUGGAAAUGUAUCUAAUACAACAGGAUUAGGCAGUACCUAAGAAAUAUGAGUAGUAAUGGAUCAUGAUAGAUGUCUAAGUGGAUCUGCAUAAGUUGAUCCAUUAUUAUAUACAGGUGUAUACAAUAAUGGCAGGGACUCUGGUAACUGGUUCUGCUGCCUGUGACUCACUUUUAACAGGUUUAAGAGCUCUCACCCAUUCAGUGAGCUCCAAGGACCCCUUGUCCUGGCUCAGUUUAUGCCAAGACACAGCUGAGUGUCUUUGAAAAUGGCUGGUUUUUCAUUUACUGAGCACUUAACAGCAGCUACACUGAAUUUAUUAAAAGAAGAGUAGAGCAAUCAUAAUCCCAAGCCUGCAGAACCAUUAAAAGUAAUGAAAAGACACAAGCAGAUAUGUGAAAAGUAAAUUAACCAUUCAGUCAGUAUGGUCCAGAGGUUCCAAGCUCAAAUUGUCCUGGGAAUCUGCUGGAGAGAUUAAACAUCUGAACGUUCAGAUCAAGAACAAAAUGGACAAUCUCUCCUACCAUUCUGUUUUUAGAUUUUAUUUUUAACUCUUUAUUUUGUAUUUUUUUUAAAAAAAUAAAAAUCUGAUGGUAAUUUCAA